AGACUUAUUUCCAGAAAUUAGGUGAGUGUGUGUGAGAGGAUGGAGAUGCCCCAGAGGAACUGACAGCAGAAAAUCACACUAGAGAAACCCUCAGACAUAUUUUAUGACAUUAAACGCUCCAGGAAUGAGAAACAUCAGCUGCAUAUCUACUCUUAGGAAGAAAGAAGUAUGAGAAUUCACCAAGACAUGAAAACAUUAUGAAUAAGUUAUGUGACAAGAAGGUUUAUUUAUCUCAGACUUAGUGAUGGAGAAGUCAACAACCUAGAAAUGCCAAAGGACAUCAGUCAAAAAAGCUGAUGAAAAGCCUGCUCUCUAUAGCUUAAUGACCAAGAAAGGCGCAGCCAAGAAAGACAUAGCAUUUUAGAUAACAAUUGCCCUAUUCCAGGGAAUACCACUGUUGUGAUCCCAUUCCCACCUCUAUGAGCAAAAGCUGAGUGGGGAGCCUAGACUCCUACCUUCCAUCUCCACCAGGAAGAUGUGAGCUUGUAACAAGACACUGUUAAAAACAAAACAAUAUUUAAUAAAACUUGUUAUUAUUAAGAUGGUUAGGAAGACUGAAUUCAGGACCAUAGCAUGAUCCUAUUGCAUGGGAAAAUCACAAUUUAGAGCCAAGGAGAAGAGUGGGGUCAGUGGAUGGAAAAUUACUAAGAGGAGACAUCAGGAGUAAGAAGGAUUCUGGCCAAACCUACCUCACAGGGCUCACAUCACUGAGAGGAUAGAGGAGGAUGAGACACUGAAUCAGAUAUGAAAGAUGAUCAGAUAUCUAGGACAGAGGUUUCUUUCUAGCAAAAUUUAGGUUUUUACUAAAACUCUAUUUUACAAGGGCCUGCACAUACAGACUGAGGAGAAGGUUCAGGAGCCUCAGUAAAGUUUGGUGAAGCAGAGAAUCUUGUCAACACAUCUAACUCCCUAGCUCCUUUGUGCAUAUGUCAGAAAAGGAUGAGUGUGAACUGGGAUCAGGGCACUUAACCCUGCUGGGUAUAAUUAGCCUCUCCCUUGUCAAUGGAGAAUAUGGGGGAAACUUAGAUUUUACUUCAGCCAAUACUAACAAAGCAUUGUUUCCUCACUGGGGGUGUCAGAGGAGGCACAGAGGAGAUUCAGGAUUUCUACCACCACACAGCAUAAUGAACCUGCACACUAUUAUUUCAGCAGUGGUAACACAGGGAGCAAUAAUGAGACCUUCCUCCUCCUCCCAGCAAGGAUAGUAUCAGUGGAGGUCUAGUGUGGAGCCUGAAAUACCAGCAGUAAUAAGGUAUUCUUUCUUUGCUGUCAAAAGAGACUGGGUGAGAAACCUGGGUUUUAAUCUCCUCCACCUGGUAAUAAAAAAAGAGGGUUCCUUUCUCCUGCUGAUGAAGUAUCCUAGACCUGCGAAAAGACAAGAUUUACAUAAGAUCCAGCUUUUCAUCAUACCCUAAAAUUCCAGAAUACAAUGAAGCAUUACUCAUUAUACUAUGAAGCGGGACAAUACUAAAAUGAGAGAGGGCAAUCAACAGAUGAUAGCACUGAGAUAACACAGGUACUAGAAUGAUCUACAAAGAACAUUAAAGCAGCUACAUUAAAAAAAUGCUUCAAUAUGCAAUUAUGAACAUGUUUGAAGGAAAUAAAAAUCUCAGCAAAAAUUACAAAGAAUCAGGAAGGAAAUAGAAGAUAUAAAUAAGAAGCAAAUGAAUAUUUUAGAACUAAAAAUAUUAUACUCAAAAAUCUUAAUGAAUAGGCUUAAUAGUAGAAGGAAGAGGGUGGUGGAAAAAAUAAGUGAACUUAAAGACAAAACAAUGGAAAACAGCCAACUUGAGAGAAAACAGACUUAAAUAAGAAAUAGGUAGAAUUUCAGCAAGUUGAAAUUCUCAAAAGAUUUAACAUUUUUAUCACUCAAGUCUCAGAAGAAGAGAAGGAAGAGAAUGGUGUUGAAAAUGUCACAACUUUGUAAAAAAAGACCAAAACCUAGAUAUUUGAGAAGUUGAGCAAACACAAACUGGAUAAACAAAGAAAUCCUCAUCAAGACUUAUCAUAAUUAAACUUCAGAAAACUAAUGACAAAGAGAAAAAUCUUGAAAGCAGUGAGAGAGAAACUGCACCUUACCAAUGAAAGGGGGGUGGGCAAUUCAAAUGACUGUUAAUUUUGAAUCAGAAAUCAUGAACAUUUGAAGGAAGUGAUGCAAAAUUUUUCAAAUGCCAAAAGAAAAAAGGGCAAUCCAGAAUUCUAUAUCUAGAUAAAAUACCCUAUAGGAUAAAAAGAAAGAUACAUUCUCAGAUAAAUUAAAAGUAGUGAAUUUGUGACUGGAGGAUGUACCCUAAACGAAUAGCUAAAGGAAGUUUUGAAACAAACAGAAAAUGAUUUUUUUUAAAUUUGGAAAUUCAGAAAGAAAGAAGAACAUAAGAAAGAACAAAACUGUGGGUAAAUAUGAUCAACUGCCAGAUGAAACAACAAAAGACCCAAAAUAGCCAAAGUUAUCCUGAGCUAAAAGAACAGAGCUGGAGGCAUCACACUACCAGAUUUCAAAAUAUACUACAAAGCUAUAGUAAAUUACAACAGCAUAGUAUUGGCAUGAUUACAGAUGUACAGACCAACAAACAGAACAGAGAGCCCAGAAAUAAAUCUACAAAAGUACUAUCAACUGAUCUUUGACAAAGAUGUCAAGAACACACAAUGCAGAAAGAAUAGUCUCUCCAGUGAAUAGUGUUGAGACAGUUAGACAUCCAUGUGCAAAAAGAAUGAUAUUGGACACCUCAUACUGUAUGCAAAAAUUCAACUCAAAGUGAAUUAAAGACUUAAGUUUAAACCUGAAACUGUAAAACUACAGGAAGAAAACAGAAGGGAAAACCUUCCUGUCAUUGUUCUAGCCAAUGAUUUUUUUUGUUAUCAGCCCAGAAGCAAAGGCAACAAAAGCAUACACCAACAAAUGGGAUUGCAUUAAACUAAAAAGCUUAUGCACAGCAAAGAAAUAAUCAACAGAGUGAACACGCAAUUUAUAGAACAGAAGAAAGUAUUUGCAAAUGAUACAUUUGGUAAGAAAUUAACAACCAAAAUAUAUAAGGAACUUAAGCAAUUUAAUAAUGAAAAACAAAACCAAAUAACCCAACGUUAAAAAUGGUGAAAGAACUCAAAUAGACAUUUCUCAAAGAAGACAUCUAAAUGGCCAAGAAAUAUAUGAAAAAAUGUUCAACAUCAGUAAUCAUCUGGGAAAUGCAAAAUAAAACCACAGUGAGAUAUCACC